GACGAACGCUGGCGGCGUGCUUAAUACAUGCAAGUCAACGACUUUUAGAGUAGCAAUAUUCUAAGGGAAGUGGCGCACGGGUGAGUAACACGUAGGUAAUCUGCCUUCAGGACUGACACAACUCGUCGAAAGACGGGCUAAUAUCAGAUAAUGCAGCGGCUCCGCAUGGAGACAGUUGUUAAAGUACAAGCGCCUGAAGAUGAGCCUGCGGUCCAUUAGCUAGUUGGUAGAGUAACAGCCUACCAAGGCAACGAUGGAUAGCGUGGUCUGAGAGGAUGAUCAGCCAC
rnacentral:rRNA from 1 species